ensembl:lncRNA
UUUGAGUUAAGUUUUUCUUUUGCUUUUAUUACAAGCAUAUAAUAUUAAUUGGCAAAACACUGAAUACAAGCUUCACUAUCAUAAAAUCAAAACAUUGAAGCAAUAUUCCAAAAAAGAUUUUAGACAAAAACUAGCCACCGAGUACAAAAAUUACACACCAACAUAAAGCAUAAAAAAUGUAAACUUUCAAAUUAAACAGUCAAAAAUAUGUAUCUGCAUUGUCAUCUUCAUAAACUGCGACAGCUUCCACGUUGCCACGCAUGGUGGGCCGGCUCAGCACCACCUCACCCUGAACCCACAUCCUUUGGGAAAAUGGUUUUCUUACACCCAAUUAUGUUGCUGGAUAGACAUUUACACUAAUGCUACACACGCUGGGGGCACCCACACUGCAGUCCAUCCUCAGACGUGCUCGCGGACGCGGUAAGUUACACACGACACCCUGGCCCGGGCUGGCCAUGCACUGCCCGUCCGGCAGGGACGGGAUCUUCGUAAAGACUACGCUGUAGUUUGAUAUUUACUGAGUGUGUUUAAAUACCAAGGCAGAGAAACACACUGGUUUAUCACGCUAAGGUCACGUGUGAUGUGGUGGAGUGUAAAUGAUUUCCUGAGGAAACAGAGAAACUGGGUUUUUUGUGAUUUUGCUAUCGGCACUAAAUUUAUUUUCAAUAUUUGGAGAGCACAUUGAAUAUUCACGCACAACGUAGACAUCAGCUGGCUCGUUCCUAUCCAAUGACACAUUUCAAAUCACUGUAAAACACUAUCCUGUGCACUUUGAGAAAAGAACCAAACGAAUUUCUAAGACUUGGAAUGCCACGAGGAGGCAUCGGAGGCCGAGCCUGGAGGCUCAGGAGCCCCGGGGAAGUAGCACCGUCACGUGUGGGGUCCUACGGGGGUGGUGCAUCCAGGGCCGUGAGCAGGCGGGUCGAGGGCACAAACCCCGGGCAGCCAUGAGGCUGGCCUACGAUGGCGCCACACAUCACUUCACGGCUGCCUGCCCCGUCACUUAUAUUUAAAUAUUGCUGACAGGUAUUCUUGCACAGGCACACGCACAAUCCUGAUAACUGUGUUCUUAUAAUAGCAACAAUGAAAAAGGAAAAACCAAAUAGCUGAAUGUAUAUAUUUUGAAGUUCCACCUACAUUCCCUUUCAAUUUAGCAGAAUAGAUGCUACAUUGCAAUUUAAACAUCUAAUAAACGCAUAUUGGAACCUAUUGCACAAAAGCAUAAACAAUGCUCUUCAUCCAUAUAAAACAAAAACAUACAAAUUAAAAGCUACUCAAAGUAAAAAGAAGAAGCUUGCAAAACAUCUCACAAUUUCAUUUUAUAUGCCUGUAAAUAAAGCUGGACCACUGAAACCAAACGAUUGGAUGGGAAAAUACGAUAGAAGGCUUAAAAUAGAAUAAAUAAUUUUAUAAAGUUUUUUUUAACCCCCCAAAUCUUAAAUUUAAUAUUAUAUAUUCUAUCUGAAUUUUCUAUUUCCAUGAAAACGGUGUCUAGCGAGGGUCCCACCGGUGCUGACAGCGAUGUGGGGCGGGAGCUGAACAGCACGAGCCUCCCCAGCACAGCAGCUGCGAAACUCCACAGCAACUCCACUGCUAAAACCUUCAGAGGGUCCAAUCAGUAACUGAUCCUGGCUUUCAUGCUGGAAAAAAUAAAAUUCAGGCUUUUGAUGUUAAAUGAAAGCAUGACAAAAUGAAGGAGACCCCUGAAGCUUCCCGACGGCAGGGUUCACCAGGCUGCAGUCUUCAUAAGGCCGCGUCAGACCAAAGCGGCCGGAGGCCACCAGGGAUCGCCCUGUAGUGAAGGCGGUCUGCAGGAGGACAUCUUAGAAAAAUAGGUACUUUUGCUGCUGAGGUUUCAUCAGGUUAACACGAUUACAAAAGCGGGUCACACAAGAGCGGUCAGCAACCAGCUGGAGAUGUUAAUACUGGCUCCGACUUAUCUCCACCUCUCUGUAUAUUUAAAUAUAUCAACUUAGCACCAUAGCAAAUUCAAGUGAUUUCAAAGAUAGCUACAAAGUUACAAAUAUAUAAUAUGAGAUUAUUACAGCGAUAUUAAGUUUAAUCUGAACUGUGAAUUAAUUUUAUUUGAAUUUGGAUGCUCAUACUGUUUAAUCCUUCCUUACUUUCACCACACAGGAAAAUACCUAAAUUCUAAUGUUACACUUAAAACUGCAUUGUGAUAACGUGGUUUUACAGAAUGCUUCAGCAGUAAGGUAUCUUUUGAGGUAGACAGGUAAUAUUUACUCACACACAUCUACUCAUUAAACUGUGUAGAAUAACUCUAAAUGUGAUUUGGAUGAAUAGCAAGCUUAGGUAAUUGAAAAAUUCAAACACCACUGGCAGUUAAUGGGCUUAAAUAAAAAGGCGAAUUUUGAUCAAUUCCUAACAAAGAAGUUGUUUUUAUGUUUUUAAAAGACCUUACAUUAAAAUCACUUGGACUGAAUUAAUUUGAAUGUUUUUCUCACCCUUUAGACUAGGUCUCAGUAGCUGCUUCUGACAUUCAUGUACGUAAAACAGGAAGCAGAAGAAAACAAACAAAAUUGAAUGUUGAUGAGCGCAACUUUAACUUUCAAAGCAAAUUCAAGAAAAGAGUCUAGUCACUAAGAUGAAAUACUUCCUGGAAAACCCAGCCCUCGGGGCCACCAUCAGAGACCUGUCCACUGACAAGGGCGGUGGGUGAACCACUCCCACCAGAAAAGGAGGAGGACCUGAAGCUCACUGGGAAGUCAGAGGACACACGGACGGAGGUGACAAGGAAGCUCCAGGAUGACUGUGACGGCUCCAGAGGACUGGUCCUGUCUCCUCAUUCUUGCCUUUACACCAUUUUAAAGUAACAGAUAUCUAUGUGCUGGCAGUUUGUUUAUUCUCUAAAUCCACAAACAUAUUAACAUUUGGGAGGAGGAGGGGGUAACCGAGCGUGUGCUGCCUGUGACCGGCGUUAUAGGUCAUCAAGUCACUGGACAAGCAGCUGCUGCCGCACGGCGCACUCCCCCGGGCACUCCGCUGCCCCCCUGCUCCUGUGCUUGGCCCAUUAGCAGCCACGAAGUGUGUGAGCUCUUUCCAUGAGCAGAGAGGAGGGGAGGGUGGACGUGGUGGGAACCAGGCGUUUGUACACCUGGAGCUGCGGGAGCAGACGCCCUCGCAGGGCGGCACCGCUCGUCUGAUGGAAAAGCCCCUCCACAAACGCCACCACCUCUCUUCAGCAGAAUGAAAAUGGGAAAGAAUGAGUAGGAGAUUAAACGAUGGCACGGAACAAUCUGUGCCCUGUUCAAUAAAAGCCAUUUUUCACAACAGUUGUUCAACAGACCAGCAGUAAGCUGGACAAACGACCUCUGGUCUACCAGCUGGGCGUGCCAGGGACGGUGAGCACCAAGUCUCAGCCGUGUCCAGUUCGGGGGGCAACGAAAGGUUAAGUUUUUUGGCGAUGAACUUCUUUAGAUGUAGGACUGUGGCUUGGGCUGAGCAGCGGAUCCACUUCCGUUUCAAGCCACGCAGUUUGCUGCUGUUGCACUCCAGGCAGAUGCUCACCU